CUGACAUAUUAAAACAUUUUAUUUAGAAAUAUCAUUUAGUCCAUGAGAUUUCCAUUUAUUUGAAUACAAAAAAUGCUUUAUAAUUCACAUUGCAAGCGUAGCUAAUCUCCUAAACAAUCCUGACCAUCUCAUUUGUUGACAUUGUUAGCUCGACCUCUCCAUCCCCAUGUCCAUCAUUCAAUCGCUUACAUGGGAUCUCUAUCUCAUCAUUAGCUGCUUCACCAUCUUCUUCAUUGGCCUCUUCUAAGGGUUUGUAAGUAUAAACCCAAGCACAAAUUACAUAAUAAACAAGAUUUAAAACUUGGAUUCCUGUGACAAGCCAGUAAUAGUAAUCCAAUCUUCCCCUGUUCAGGUUCCUAUCAGGCAACCAGUUAUUUUCCUGACCAGUAUACUUGUGAACUAGUGACACCAUCAGUGUUCCAAUAUAAUUUCCCAUGGAAAUUGCUAACCAAUAGAGAGCUGCAGCUGUACUUCUCAUGCUUUCUGGUGAUUGAUCAUAAAGAAAUUCCAGGUGCCCAACAGACAUGAAAACUUCUGCUACUCCGUGCAGGCAAAACUGAGGAACCAACCAAAACACACUUAUUGGAAUAAUGGCUUUAGGAUCAUCAAGUGAGUUGUGAUGGGCUGCGACUGCUUUUCUUUUCAUCUCAACCAGUGCUGAAACAACAGUGGCGAUUAUAUUGAUGAAGAAACCUAUGCCCAUUCUCUGCAGGCAAGUGAUGCCUGAGGGGUUUCCAGUGAAGCGACGAGCCAAGGGGACGAAGAGUCGUUCGUAUAAAACAAGGCCUGUGAGCAUGGUGAGAAUGCUGAAGAUGGAUAGGCUAGCUGGUGGGAUUUCAAAGGAAUGGGACAAUCGACGAUCCAUCGAGCGAGCUUGUUGGAUGACAAAGCUAUGUAGAUGUGAAGAAGCUGUUACUAGUAAGAUCCCAGCAGCCCAAAUUGGUAGCAUUCUGACAAUGGAUUUUAGCUCCUCAACUCGAUGGAUUGUAGCUAGCCUCCAGAGGUUAGGAUUCUUUGAAUCUGUUUGCUCACCGUCUGUUACUAUUGCAGCUUUAUCAAGCCACCUGCAGGUAUGCAUUAACACAACAAGAUUAAUUGAAGUAUUCGCACUUGACUUUAGUGAAUAUGUCUUAUCAGACAUUUUCACGGUUAAUUGAAGUAUUUAAGUAUUCGCUCCAAUCCACUCGUUCACUUAAGUCAGACACAUAUUUGACAAUUCAUACUUGAAUUGAUUGGUGUGCAAGAGCCUUCCAUUGACAGAAAUAGCAGCAUCAAGCUCUUUAUUCUGGUAUAGGAAAGCAGGGUCACGAGGCACCGCCAAUUUUCUCUUCUUCACGGCAGCAACAAUCACUUGAGCUAAUCUAACCAAAGGGCUUCCACCUGGUUUUAAUUUGACAUAAAGUGGAGAACCAAAUACAAAAGCUGCAAUGGACAAAGCCAUGGCAAUGGUUGGGAUUCCAAGGCCCCAACCCCAACCCACAUCAUCUUGUACAUAAACAACAACAGUCAAGGCAGUUAAUGUUGCCAUUCCCAUGCUAAAAUAGUACCAGUUGAAGAAAUUCCAGCCACGAGAAGCAACACUUGAUUUAGUCAUAUCAAUUUGGUCUGCAGCAAAUGUUACCACACAAGGCCUGAUCCCACCAGUGCCCAGGGAUGUAAGGAGGAGGGAUAUGUAGAGGACCCAUAAUUGUGAAGUUGCGGCUUCUUUGCAGUUCAGUUGAGCUGGACAUGGUGGAGGUCGCAGUGAUGGGAGUAUUGCUGAUACGGUGAUGCCGAUCAUUCCCAGUUCAUAGAUGAUGGAGCCGAUGAUGAUGGUCCAAAAUCGGCCGGCGUAAGAAUCGGCGAUUAGAGCACCAAUAAGGGGAGUGAAGCUAGCCGUUCCACUGAAGUUGGUGAGAGUAUUAGAAGCCUUAACCAGGGGCAAGUUCAGCUGCCGUGUCAAAUACGUUGUCAUAUUGGCGUGGAAUCCAGUGGCUGCGAAUCUGUCACAUAUUUCAUUUGCAAGGAUGAAUGGCAUUGUCUUGAUGCCUCCAAGCUGUUUCUUCUUCUUCUUCUU
rnacentral:misc_RNA from 1 species